rnacentral:rRNA from 1 species
GACGAACGCUGGCGGCGUGCUUAACACAUGCAAGUCGAACGAGUGGCGAACGGGUGAGUAAUAUGUGGGUCACCUGCCCUCUUGUUGGGAUAAGCCUUGGAACCGGGGUGUAAUACCGAAUAAAGGGGGCUGGGCUCGCGGCCUAUCAGCUUGUUGGUGGGGUGAUGGCGUACCAAGGCGGUGACGGUUAGCCGGCCUGAGAGGGUGACCGGCCACGUUGGGACUGAGAAACGGCCCAGACUCCUACGGGAGGCAGCAGUGUGGAAUAUUGCACAAUGGGCGCAAGCCGGAUGUAGCCAUGCCGCGUGUAUGAAGAAGGCCUUAGGGUUGUAAAGUACUUUCAGUAGAGAGGCGUUACCGACAGAAGAAGCACCGGCUAACUCCGUGCCAGCCGCCGCGGUAAUAC